rnacentral:rRNA from 1 species
UAGAGUUUGAUCCUGGCUCAGGAUGAACACUAGCGGCAGGCUUAACACAUGCAAGUCGAAGGGCAUCGCGGGGAGUGCUUGCACUCCCUGGCGGCGACUGGCGCACGGGUGAGUAACACGUAUGCAACCUGCCCUCCACAGGGGGACAACCUUCCGAAAGGGAGGCUAAUCCCGCGUAAAUCUCGAUGGGGCAUCCCAUUGAGAGGAAAGCUUCGGCGGUGGAGGAUGGGCAUGCGGCGCAUUAGCUAGUCGGCGGGGUAACGGCCCACCGAGGCGACGAUGCGUAGGGGUUCUGAGAGGAAGGUCCCCCACACUGGUACUGAGACACGGACCAGACUCCUACGGGAGGCAGCAGUGAGGAAUAUUGGUCAAUGGGCGGGAGCCUGAACCAGCCAAGCCGCGUGAGGGAAUAAGGCCCUAUGGGUCGUAAACCUCUUUUGUCGGGGAACAAAAGCGGGGACGCGUCCCCGUCUGCGUGUACCCGAAGAAAAAGCAUCGGCUAACUCCGUGCCAGCAGCCGCGGUAAUACGGAGGAUGCGAGCGUUAUCCGGAUUUAUUGGGUUUAAAGGGUGCGUAGGCGGCCUGCCAAGUCAGCGGUAAAAUUGCGGGGCUCAACCCCGUACAGCCGUUGAAACUGCCGGGCUCGAGUGGGCGAGAAGUAUGCGGAAUGCGUGGUGUAGCGGUGAAAUGCAUAGAUAUCACGCAGAACCCCUAUUGCGAAGGCAGCAUACCGGCGCCCUACUGACGCUGAGGCACGAAAGUGCGGGGAUCAAACAGGAUUAGAUACCCUGGUA